rfam:Erinaceus europaeus unplaced genomic scaffold scaffold00025, whole genome shotgun sequence
AGCUUUGCGCAGUGGCAGUAUCGUAGCCAAUGAGGCUUAUCUGAGACGCGAUUUUUGCUAAUUGAGAACUUUUCCCAAUACCCCACCAUAACUUGAAAUAUAGUCAGCAUUGGCAAUUUUUGACAGUCUCUAUGGAGA